GCGUGGUUAGUUCAGUCGGUAGAACGCAGGUCUCCAAAACCUGAUGUCGAGGGUUCGAGUCCUUCACCACGCGCCU
rnacentral:tRNA from 1 species